UACGGGGGGUGCGAGCGUUGUCCGGAAUCACUGGGCGUAAAGGGCGCGUAGGUGGCGUCGUAAGUCUGUGGUGAAAGCCCGGAGCUCAACUCCGGGUCUGCCGCGGAUACUGCGAGGCUUGAGUGCUGUAGAGGGGGGUAGAAUGCCGGGUGUAGCGGUGGAAUGCGUAGAGAUCCGGAGGAACACCGACGGCGAAGACAGCGCCCUGGACGAGAUCUGACGCUCAGGCACGAAAGCGUGGGGAGCAAACAGG
rnacentral:rRNA from 1 species